GAUGAACGCUGGCGGCGUGCCUAAUACAUGCAAGUCGAGCGAACGGACGAGAAGCUUGCUUCUCUGAUGUUAGCGGCGGACGGGUGAGUAACACGGGGAUAACCUACCUAUAAGACAGGGAUAAUUUCGGGAAACCGGGGCUAAGACCGGAUGAUAUUUUGAACCUCAUGGUGCAAAAGUGAAAGACGGUCUUUCUGUCGCUUAUAGAUGGAUCCGCGCUGCAUCAGCUAGUUGGUAAGGUAACUGCUUAACAAGGCAAGGAUGCAUAGACGCCCUGAAGGCGUGAAUCGACACCUGGGCUGUGAGACACAGUCGCGACUCCUGCGCGAGGCAGCGGUAGGGACUCCUACGCAAUGGGGGAGUGCGUAACGGUGCACAGCCGCGUGAGUGCUGAACGUGUUAGGCUCGUAAAGCUCUGUAAGCAGUGAAGUUCAUAUGUAUAUGUAACUGGGAACAUAAUGACGGUACCUAGACAGAAAGCCACGGCUAACUACGUG
rnacentral:rRNA from 1 species